UACGAAGGGGGCUAGCGUUGCUCGGAAUUACUGGGCGUAAAGCGCACGUAGGCGGUUUCUUAAGUCGGUGGUGAAAUCCUGGAGCUCAACUCCAGAACUGCCUUCGAUACUGGGACGCUUGAGUAUGGUAGAGGUUGGUGGAACUGCGAGUGUAGAGGUGAAAUUCGUAGAUAUUGGGAAGAACACCGGUGGCGAAGGCGGCUCUCUGGACCGUAACUGACGCUGAGGCGCGAAAGCGUGGGGAGCAAACAGG
rnacentral:rRNA from 1 species